rnacentral:rRNA from 1 species
AUUGAACGCUGGCGGCAGGCCUAACACAUGCAAGUCGAACGAGUGGCGGACGGGUGAGUAAUGUCUGGGAAACUGCCUGAUGGAGGGGGAUAACUACUGGAAACGGUAGCUAAUACCGCAUACCAUCGGAUGUGCCCAGAUGGGAUUAGCUGGUAGGUGGGGUAAAGGCUCACCUAGGCGACGAUCCCUAGCUGGUCUGAGAGGAUGACCAGCAACACUGGAACUGAGACACGGUCCAGACUCCUACGGGAGGCAGAAGUGGGGAAUAUUGCACAAUGGGCGCAAGCCUGAUGCAGCCAGGCCGCGUGUAUGAGGAAGGCUUUCGGGUGUUAAAGUACUGUCAGCGGGUAGGCGUUACCCGCAGAAGAAGCACCGGCUAACUCCGUGCCAGCAGCCGCGGUAAUUC